UAGAGGUCAAUGCUUGCUGUUCUAUAUGCUUUCCCAUCAUCACUUGUUCCUCAUUCUGCUAUAUUUUAAUUCCUCAUAAAAUUGCCCAAUGCUUGCUUGCCAUAUAAUGUUCUUCCUCCAUGUGUAUUCUCCUUGACGUCUACAAUAUGCAAAUUUUCAUCUAAAACUCUUCGGCACUGACUUUCAUGACAUAUAUUAUUUUGAAACUUCCCCAUGUGUCUAACUGCUUCCUAGUGUUGUCAAAAACAUACCAUUCUCUUAUUCCCUGACCACAGCUAUUACCCAAUAGUCAGUUCCUGGUAUUCCUGCUGUUUCUCCUUUCUGGUAAAAAAAAACUCCUCAUCACUCAUGACUAUAAUCAUUACAUAAAUGCAAAUAAUUUCUAGAUCUGUAUCUCCAUACAUUUAAUCUAUCACAAAUUCAGUGUUAUGUUUCCAAAUGCACUCAUUAGUCUAGAGAAGGUGUCUAACAGCUAACUCAUCCUUAUCCCUAAUCCAGGUCCCUGUCAUUAUUCUACUACACCUAUUGACUGGUACUACUAUUGUACCAGUCACCAAACUUCAAAUUCUAAAUUCACCUUCAACUAUUCUCUCUCUAUCUUUGUUUAAAAGCAUUCAUAUAUUAUGAUCAAAUCACCCUACUUUAGAUUUUUAUGAUCUUCCACUUAUAAAAAUUCAAUAGCUUUAGUUUUCUAGCCUUCAAAUCCCUCUCCCUCCAAUGAAUUUACAACUAUAUUUCAUCAAAAGCACAAGGCUAAAGCAUUCGUUUCAUCAAUUACAUUUAAAAGUGGCUUCAUAUUGCCUUCUGGAUUCCUGAAUCCAAAAGCAGCUUUCAAGUAGUUAAAACCUAGCACAACAGGAAGCUUUUAGAACACCAUUAUAACAGAGGCCUAAGAUUGUUAAUUAUUUUUUAUAUAAUACCCGCAAGAACCCAAGAGGUAGCAGCAAUUAAUUAUAGGUGUGAUUGGACUGUUAGCCAUGGGUAAUAAAGGUGGAAUUCUGUUUUUUCAACUUUAUAUAGUUAUUUUAAAAACAGGGUUUCCCAAUUUCUGGCAUGCAUGUUAUCAACAGAGUUGAUCUUAGUAAUAAACUUACAAAUAACCUUCCUUCCUAUGCAGAAUUACAACUGCUAAAUCAAACUCUAUGUAUUUUAACCAAACUGAUGUUUCAAAGCCCACAUUUUGACACAACUUGUCUUUCAGCACUUGUGUUAUAAUCCUCUAUUUCCUCCUAAUGUAAUAAGUGUAAAAUGUAGUUUUUCUUCAUUUUGUCUUCAGUUUCCACGAUAUGAUUUUCACAGAUCAUAUAUGCUGUUAAAAUUAAUAAAGGACACUUUUAAUUGUGCAUAUAUAAAAAGAUUUGGGUUUAAAUUAACAAAAUAUUAACAAAAUUAACAAUUAUUUCAGCUACACUCUAAGAUGAUGAGAAAUAUGCUAAUAUGUCUAACAUGAACAUAUAUGCAGAGCGUGUCCUUUUCCACUUUGGACUGAGGUCUCAGUUUUUGACUAGAUCAAAUCAAAAAGACAUGCUCCUUAUUCCAUUGACAAGGAUGGAAAGGAUUGCUCCAAGGCCUUCUAAAUCUCUAAUCAAGAAAAUGUUCAUGGCCUUUAAUCCUAGGGUUCACCCUGAUUAUACUGACUUUGUUUAUAUUUUCCAAACCAUAAAUAAUUAGUAAUAAUUUCAUACUAGUAACACAAUUUAAUUUCUAGGGAUGUUUCUAAGCUUGAAAGUUAGUUUGCAGGGGAUGGCAACAGAAUUUAUUUCAAGGCUAGGCAGUUAGAAUAAUGGGAAUAAUGGAUUAGAAGUUUAGAGUCUUGAGUUUUCCUCAGAGAUCUGUAAGUAAUCAACAUUCUGACGUCGACCAAUGUUUUUUACAAUGUCCACAGAACUACUUGUAAUAUUUGAUAAAAUGUAAAUAAUGGAACUCCAUUUCUGGAGCCUUUUUUUCAGUAGCUCUAGACUGGGGACCACAUAUUCACAUAUUAAGCAAGUCCCCCAGGAAAGGAGACAUGUAUUCAUCUAACUACACAUUGAGAAUCACCUGAGGCAAGUCAACUCCUCUGGGCUUCAGUUUCUACAUCUGUAAAAGGACUAAGCUUGAUUAGAUGACAUUUUGGGGAUAUUCUCAGGUCUCAAUGUUUUAUGACUCAGUUAAAAGUUUCCUAUUGCUAGGAAUACAGUCUUAAUCAAUUCAACACAGGCGGUACUCAAGUGACUGGAUCUCUCUUUUUUCAUUAAUGUAAUGACUAAAGGAUUUGUGUUCUAUUUCUAUAUCUACCAUUAUCUUUUUUGUAUCCAUAUUACCUCAAAGGUAGUCUUUCAUGAUUAAUCUUAACAUCUUCCGAUCACAGAGUCUGACAGCAGAAGAAGCAACAGACCAUCAAAUAUGGCUACCAUCCCCCAAUAAAAUUCCAAAUAGAUGGUCAUGCAGCCUGUGCUUGUCACUUCCAUUAUUGGGAACCCACUCUCCUGAAACAUGGAAAUAUCUUCUUUCUCUUAAAUGAAACUCUUUCUCAUUAGAGGUUCUAUCCCUAUGUCCUGGCUCUGAUAUAUGAGUCUACGCAGAAUAAGCAUAAUUCCUCACCUAUAUGACAGCCAUUUGAAUACUAUAGUCUUCAUUCCAUACUCAGUUUCAACUCUUCUUACACACAGUUUAUGUUUAGUUGCCUUUCAGAGGAUCUCUCCUAAGGUGUGUGCCCAGCUGUGGUCUGGGCAGGGACAUUUACAGUAGGACCAUGUAAAACCAAGGCGAGGGGGAUACAUUUCAUGGUCACAUCACAGGAAAAAGGGAAUAUCUCCCUAAUACAUUAUUCAAGAUUAGUUGUAAGUUUACUUGGAUCCAUAUACUUACAUGCUUCCCUUCUGGAGCCACCCUAGAAAAAUCUUGAAUAGGCUUAAAGUUAUAGAGUAUUUCACCUUCUCUUUACACUAAAGGGCUCAGUGCAGCUGCCAUUCCAGGUUCUCUUGCUGCUCACAGGGAUACACCACAACCUUACCUCAUGCCCACACCCACAGCUCUUCCUACCCAAGGACUUCUCUCUUGCCAGUGAGACAAUAGAGUCCGCUGAACCUAAUCAGUGGCUUUUUUUCCUCCAAGAGGAAAUAGAAGUUGAUUAGUAAAUUCUUCCCUCUAUCACCACAAAGAUCAUCCCUACCAGGUUGCUGAAAAUACAGAAAUAUUAUCUCCAGGAAAACAAUAAGAAAUAUUAAAGCUGUUGUUUUAACAUAAACAAUGGAGACAGAAGGCAAUGGCAUGACAGUUUUAAGAUGCUGAAAGGGGAAAAAACUGUCAGACAGGUAUUAUGUAUCUAGUAAAAAUACUAUUUUAAAAUAGUGGUUAGAGAUAGAUAUUUUCAGACAAGAAAAAAUAAAAAUAUUUGUUGCUAGCAGAACCAUACUACUAGAAAUACUAAAUGAAUUUCUUCAGAGUGAAAGGAAACUAUCCCAGAUGAAAACAUGGAAUUGCAAAGAUAAACUGAACUGGAAAGGGUAAAUAUAUAGGUAAAUUAUGAAAAAAAAAUAUUUUACUUUGUAAAAAGAAUGUUUAAAGCAAAAAUAAUAAUGUUUUUGGAGUUUAUAAGUAUAUAUAAAAAUAAACUCUGUAAGAAUAACAGCAAAAUGAGGCACAGCUUAAAGCUUCUUAGCAUUAUUUGUGAAGUAGUAAAAUUUUAAUUUAAGGUUUUAUUAUGUCAAGGAUGCACACUUUAAUAUGUAGCAUAAAUACCAAAAGGAAAUAUGAAACUGUUAAAAAGCCAACAAAACAAAUAAAAUAGGAUAACAAUCCCACUUGAAUAAUCUAAAAGGAGGCACAAAAAAAAUGGGAAAAAAAUAAAACAAAACAGGAGACUUAAAUCCAACCAUGCCAAUAAUUACAUUAAAUAUCAAACAAACAAGUCUAAAUACUCCAAUUAAAAGAUAGAGGUUACAGAAAUGGAGUGUUUUUGUUUUUGUUUUGUUUGUUUUAGUCUAUGAUCCAAUGUGCCAUCGACAAAGGAUAAGACACAUUUUCAAUAGAAGGAUCCAGAGAGAAAAUAAAAGGAGGAAAAAGUUAUGCCACAAAGGCAUUAAUACUAAAGAGGAGUAUUUUACAAUAAGUAACAGGAAUUUAUCAUGAAGAUGUGACAAAGCUAAAUGUAUACCCAGCUAAUACCAUAGCUUAACAUAGGAUGCAAAACUGACAGAUCUAAAAGGAAAAAUAGACUAAUCCACAAUCACAGUUCAAUAUUUUCACAUACCUCCCUCAGCCUGAGAUAAAGCAAGCUACUUAAAAUAGAAACAUAUAGAUGAUUUGAAAACUCUGUUACCAAACUUGACCUAAUUAAUAAUCAUAUAACACCAUAGCUAACAAAUGGAGAAUAUAAUACUUUCAAAUAUACAUAAAAUAAUAACAAUGUAAACACUAUGGAUGUCCUUUAAAUAAUUCCUUAUAAUAAUUCCUUAUACAUUUCAAAUGAUAGGCUUAUUCAGAAUAUGUUUCCUAACCACAAUAAAAAUUAACUGGAACUGAAUAACAAAAAGUUAAUUAGGAAGUCCUCAACAUUUGGUGAUUAACAACAUAAUUUUGAAAAACUCAUGAGUCACAGAAGGAUUCACAACAAGCAUUAGAAAACGUUUUGAAAUAAAAAUAAUGAAAAUACAUAAAACUAACACAUGAAAAAGGGUGCAUGUGCUUUAUGUAAAUUAUAUCUCAAUCAGCCUGACAAUUUUUUAAAAAUAAUGAAAAUACAUCAAAAUUUGUGAGAUGGUGUUAAAGCCAUUCUUAAAGGAAAAUGUACUGGCUUUAAUGUUCAUAUGAGAAAAGAAUAAAAGCCUAAAAAUAAUGAUCUAAGUGACAGUCUGAACUGUUUUAAUACAAGAAAAAAGUGUUAUCAAGGAAAGAAGGAAGGAAAUUGUGGUGAACCCAGAGAUGUGCCACUCAGAUCCCCCAUCAAUAUCAGUGAAGACAGACUUCCCCAGAUGUCAGCAGAUAGAUCCUGGCUGUCAGCUCCUUCAGGAUUUUCCUCAACUACAGAAAACCUCUUCAGUCAAGGGCACUCCUUUGCAGGCAGCCCAUAUCCAGUGAUUGACUUCAGUGGAAGCAUGAAGUCCCAGACACCUCCCACCAACACAGGACACUGCUGAAAGCCUAAAAUACUCUUCAAGGGCUUUCUGACAUUUUCCAGGCUCCAUCACAGUUAGGUUUCUUUCUCUGACCAAUGAGGUUUCAACUUCCUCCCUUCAGUGUGAGCUAAUCUCUAAUAAAUACCCUGCAUGCCAAAAAUCCAUCACAGGGUUUGCUUUUAGGGACAGAAUUUCAACAAGAUAAUCAAGAUGAAAGCAGACUUCAAUGGCAAAGAAAAUAG
rnacentral:lncRNA from 1 species